UUGUUUUAGCAGCAUGUAUACUAAAAUUGGAAUGAUACAAAGAAGACCAGCAUGGUCCCAAUGCAAGGAUGACCUACAAAGUUGUGAAGCAUUCCGGAAUUUC